CCUGGAACCUUUUUAUUAGGGCUUUAUGGUGGCGACACCAUAUCGAAACCUCUCUAAUUCAUGGAACCCCCUAACGUAAAGACGAGGGAAAUCAUGAGCGAAGCCUGCUGAUAGCAGGAACGUGCAACGACUAUCGGUGAAAAACCGAGUACACGCAAGCGCGUGGAAAUGGGAGGGGACUCGCAAAGAGUUCUUGAUAUAGUCUGAUCUGCAUGGAAACAUGCAG
rnacentral:ncRNA from 1 species